CCUUUGGGGUGUGACUGCGUACCUUUUGUAUAAUGGGUCAGCGACUUAUAUUCUGUAGCAAGGUUAACCGUAUAGGGGAGCCGGAGGGAAACCGAGUCUUAACCGGGCGUUAAGUUGCAGGGUAUAGACCCGAAACCCGGUGAUCUAGCCAUGGGCAGGUUGAAGGUUGGGUAACACUAACUGGAGGACCGAACCGACUAAUGUUGAAAAAUUAGCGGAUGACCUGUGGCUGGGGGUGAAAGGCCAAUCAAACCGGGAGAUAGCUGGUUCUCCCCGAAAGCUAUUUAGGUAGCGCCUCGUGAAUUCAUCUCCGGGGGUAGAGCACUGUUUCGGCUAGGGGGCCAUCCCGGCUUACCAACCCGAUGCAAACUGCGAAUACCGGAGAAUGUUAUCACGGGAGACACACGGCGGGUGCUAACGUCCGUCGUGAAGAGGGAAACAACCCAGACCGCCAGCUAAGGUCCCAAAGUCAUGGUUAAGUGGGAAACGAUGUGGGAAGGCCCAGACAGCCAGGAUGUUGGCUUAGAAGCAGCCAUCAUUUAAAGAAAGCGUAAUAGCUCACUGGUCGAGUCGGCCUGCGCGGAAGAUGUAACGGGGCUAAACCAUG
rnacentral:rRNA from 1 species